rnacentral:rRNA from 1 species
GAUGAACGCUGGCGGCGUGCCUAAUACAUGCAAGUCGAGCGAACAGAUAAGGAGCUUACUCCUUUGAAGUUAGCGGCGGACGGGUGAGUAACACGUGGGUAACCUACCUAUAAGACUGGGAUAACCUCGGGAAACCGGAGCUAAUACCGGAUAACAUUUAGAACCGCAUGGUUCUAAAGUGAAAGAUGGUUUUGCUAUCACUUAUAGAUGGACCCGCGCCGUAUUAGCUAGUUGGUAAGGUAACGGCUUACCAAGGCGACGAUACGUAGCCGACCUGAGAGGGUGAUCGGCCACACUGGAACUGAGACACGGUCCAGACUCCUACGGGAGGCAGCAGUAGGGAAUCUUCCGCAAUGGGCGAAAGCCUGACGGAGCAACGCCGCGUGAGUGAUGAAGGGUUUCGGCUCGUAAAACUCUGUUAUUAGGGAAGAACAAAUGUGUAAGUAACUGUGCACAUCUUGACGGUACCUAAUCAGAAAGCCACGGCUAACUACGUGCCAGCAGCCGCGGUAAUACGUAGGUGGCAAGCGUUAUCCGGAAUUAUUGGGCGUAAAGCGCGCGUAGGGCGGUUUCUUAAGUCUGAUGUGAAAGCCCACGGCUCAACCGUGGAGGGUCAUUGGAAACUGGGAAACUUGAGUGCAGAAGAGGAAAGUGGAAUUCCAUGUGUAGCGGUGAAAUGCGCAGAGAUAUGGAGGAACACCAGUGGCGAAGGCGACUUUCUGGUCUGUAACUGACGCUGAUGUGCGAAAGCGUGGGGAUCAAACAGGAUUAGAUACCCUGGUAGUCCACGCCGUAAACGAUGAGUGCUAAGUGUUAGGGGGUUUCCGCCCCUUAGUGCUGCAGCUAACGCAUUAAGCACUCCGCCUGGGGAGUACGACCGCAAGGUUGAAACUCAAAGGAAUUGACGGGGACCCGCACAAGCGGUGGAGCAUGUGGUUUAAUUCGAAGCAACGCGAAGAACCUUACCAAAUCUUGACAUCCUUUGAAAACUCUAGAGAUAGAGCCUUCCCCUUCGGGGGACAAAGUGACAGGUGGUGCAUGGUUGUCGUCAGCUCGUGUCGUGAGAUGUUGGGUUAAGUCCCGCAACGAGCGCAACCCUUAAGCUUAGUUGCCAUCAUUAAGUUGGGCACUCUAGGUUGACUGCCGGUGACGAACCGGAGGAAGGUGGGGAUGACGUCAAAUCAUCAUGCCCCUUAUGAUUUGGGCUACACACGUGCUACAAUGGACAAUACAAAGGGCAGCUAAACCGCGAGGUCAUGCAAAUCCCAUAAAGUUGUUCUCAGUUCGGAUUGUAGUCUGCAACUCGACUACAUGAAGCUGGAAUCGCUAGUAAUCGUAGAUCAGCAUGCUACGGUGAAUACGUUCCCGGGUCU